CUUACCAUGCAGUCGAACGAUGAAGCCCAGCUUGCUGGGUGGAUUAGUGGCGAACGGGUGAGUAACACGUGAGUAACCUGCCCUUGACUCUGGGAUAAGCCUGGGAAACUGGGUCUAAUACCGGAUAGGAACGUCCACCGCAUGGUGGGUGUUGGAAAGAUUUAUCGGUCAUGGAUGGACUCGCGGCCUAUCAGCUUGUUGGUGAGGUAAUGGCUCACCAAGGCGACGACGGGUAGCCGGCCUGAGAGGGUGACCGGCCACACUGGGACUGAGACACGGCCCAGACUCCUACGGGAGGCAGCAGUGGGGAAUAUUGCACAAUGGGCGAAAGCCUGAUGCAGCGACGCCGCGUGAGGGAUGACGGCCUUCGGGUUGUAAACCUCUUUCAGUAGGGAAGAAGCGAAAGUGACGGUACCUGCAGAAGAAGCACCGGCUAACUACGUGCCAGCAGCCGCGGUAAUACGUAGGGUGCGAGCGUUAUCCGGAAUUAUUGGGCGUAAAGAGCUCGUAGGCGGUUUGUCGCGUCUGUCGUGAAAGUCCGGGGCUUAACCCCGGAUCUGCGGUGGGUACGGGCAGACUAGAGUGCAGUAGGGGAGACUGGAAUUCCUGGUGUAGCGGUGGAAUGCGCAGAUAUCAGGAGGAACACCGAUGGCGAAGGCAGGUCUCUGGGCUGUAACUGACGCUGAGGAGCGAAAGCAUGGGGAGCGAACAGGAUUAGAUACCCUGGUAGUCCAUGCCGUAAACGUUGGGCACUAGGUGUGGGGACCAUUCCACGGUUUCCGCGCCGCAGCUAACGCAUUAAGUGCCCCGCCUGGGGAGUACGGCCGCAAGGCUAAAACUCAAAGGAAUUGACGGGGGCCCGCACAAGCGGCGGAGCAUGCGGAUUAAUUCGAUGCAACGCGAAGAACCUUACCAAGGCUUGACAUGUUCUCGAUCGCCGUAGAGAUACGGUUUCCCCUUUGGGGCGGGAUCACAGGUGGUGCAUGGUUGUCGUCAGCUCGUGUCGUGAGAUGUUGGGUUAAGUCCCGCAACGAGCGCAACCCUCGUUCAUGUUGCCAGCACGUAAUGGUGGGGACUCAUGGGAGACUGCCGGGGUCAACUCGGAGGAAGGUGGGGACGACGUCAAAUCAUCAUGCCCCUUAUGUCUUGGGCUUCACGCAUGCUACAAUGGCCGGUACAAUGGGUUGCGAUACUGUGAGGUGGAGCUAAUCCCAAAAAGCCGGUCUCAGUUCGGAUUGGGGUCUGCAACUCGACCCCAUGAAGUCGGAGUCGCUAGUAAUCGCAGAUCAGCAACGCUGCGGUGAAUACGUUCCCGGGCCUUGUACACACCGCCCGUCAAGUCACGAAAGUCGGUAACACCCGAAGCCGGUGGCCUAACCCUUGUGGGGGGAGCUGUCGAAGGUGGGACCAGCGAUUGGACUAAGUCGAUCAAGAGCA
rnacentral:rRNA from 1 species